GCCCCUUCUGUUCUCAAGCACCCCUCACUUGCAGAGCCCACAGGCCUGUAAACCUGCCUCAUCAUCACUAGAGACAAGAUCUCUCUACUGGAGCUCUCACACGCUCUCCUUCCAGACUGGACUCUGGACAAAUCCCUUUUCUCCCAGGUGGAGUCAGGAGGAGGCUAAUCCUACACACAUCUUAUCCUGACAGCUCCUUUCCCUCACUCAGGAUCUCCCUCCCUCACAGGCAGGUAAUCAGGAGCUGAACUUCUCCUUUAAGAGAGAGAAGAGCCACAUCCUGCAGCCUGUGGACAAGAGGAGCUGGGCUUCAGCUUGAUAUACUGUACUUGUUUCACAGAAAAGUCCCAGAGCUCCUGCACUUUUGAACACUGAUCUGUGCUCGAGCUGCAUGAUCACAACAACACAGCCUGAAGCCACAGCCCAGUUUCCCAGAAUCCUCCUGCUGCUCUGUAAGUGAAAGUGAAAAUAGUCCUUUACUGCGAUAAAGACGGUGUCAGAAGUAAAGUGAGCAGGUCGCUUUUCAAAUCUAAUCAGAAAAAGGCCUCAGACAAUCACUUCUUUCUGAACAAUAGAAAGUGGAGCUCAGACCGGUAUGAUCAGAGUAUCCAGCCUUUGAAUGGCGUUUCUCUCUCUCAGAACAACAUCUCUCGACACUGCAAAGACAAAAAACUUCGCUCUGAAUCUGGAUUAUAAUUAAUAUAUUAAUAUUAAUAUUAUAAUUAAUCCUGUUAGUAUAAAAUCAGGUGAGUGUAAAUCUGCUGUGUUAUUGUCUAGCUGUAUAAGAAGACAAUAAAUGUUUUAUAUAUAUAUAUUUCUGAACCUUGUAGGUUUAAUUCAGUAUAAUGUACCGCAGAGAUCAAUGACAAUGUAUGUAUAGAAAAAGGUGAGUGUGAAUCUGGUAUGUUAUUGUCCAUCUGUAAAGGGAGACAGGAAACCCUGCUCUAUUUCCACACAUUGUUUUGUCAAAUAAAGUGCUGUUCCUUUCUUUAUAGUGCAUGGGUAGAGUCAGAGUAGUAGCUGCUGUGUGCUGGAGUG
rnacentral:lncRNA from 1 species